GGGGUUGUAGCCUAGUAGUCAGAGCGUCAGAUUUGCGAUUUGAAUGUCGGGGGUUCGAUUCCCGAUCCCA
rfam:Macrostomum lignano uti_cns_0000597, whole genome shotgun sequence.